GGGGCGUGGCGGCAGCUACACAUGCAAGUCGAGCGGAACGAGUUAUCUGAACCUUCGGGGAACGAUAACGGCGUCGAGCGGCGGACGGGUGAGUAAUGCCUAGGAAAUUGCCCUGAUGUGGGGGAUAACCAUUGGAAACGAUGGCUAAUACCGCAUAAUGCCUACGGGCCAAAGAGGGGGACCUUCGGGCCUCUCGCGUCAGGAUAUGCCUAGGUGGGAUUAGCUAGUUGGUGAGGUAAUGGCUCACCAAGGCGACGAUCCCUAGCUGGUCUGAGAGGAUGAUCAGCCACACUGGAACUGAGACACGGUCCAGACUCCUACGGGAGGCAGCAGUGGGGAAUAUUGCACAAUGGGCGCAAGCCUGAUGCAGCCAUGCCGCGUGUGUGAAGAAGGCCUUCGGGUUGUAAAGCACUUUCAGUCGUGAGGAAGGUAGUGUAGUUAAUAGCUGCAUUAUUUGACGUUAGCGACAGAAGAAGCACCGGCUAACUCCGUGCCAGCAGCCGCGGUAAUACGGAGGGUGCGAGCGUUAAUCGGAAUUACUGGGCGUAAAGCGCAUGCAGGUGGUUUGUUAAGUCAGAUGUGAAAGCCCGGGGCUCAACCUCGGAAUAGCAUUUGAAACUGGCAGACUAGAGUACUGUAGAGGGGGGUAGAAUUUCAGGUGUAGCGGUGAAAUGCGUAGAGAUCUGAAGGAAUACCGGUGGCGAAGGCGGCCCCCUGGACAGAUACUGACACUCAGAUGCGAAAGCGUGGGGAGCAAACAGGAUUAGAUACCCUGGUAGUCCACGCCGUAAACGAUGUCUACUUGGAGGUUGUGGCCUUGAGCCGUGGCUUUCGGAGCUAACGCGUUAAGUAGACCGCCUGGGGAGUACGGUCGCAAGAUUAAAACUCAAAUGAAUUGACGGGGGCCCGCACAAGCGGUGGAGCAUGUGGUUUAAUUCGAUGCAACGCGAAGAACCUUACCUACUCUUGACAUCCAGAGAACUUUCCAGAGAUGGAUUGGU
rnacentral:rRNA from 1 species